rnacentral:lncRNA from 1 species
ACUGAGUUGGUCGGCCGUGGACGACGAUUUCCGAGCCUUCAAGGUUUAUUCUGCCGGAAGAUGGCGUCCAAGAGACUGUUACGUAUCGGACGGAGCAUCAACUGUCCUACACUAGUGAUACUCACUACGGGGGUCCUGAUCACAAUCACGCUUAUGCACAUCAAUGGCACAUCCAGACCGAUUUUUGAGCCACCGCGUACAGUUUCAA